UGCACCUCUUCCUAGAGAUGCUGCCUGGCCUGCUGCGUUCACCAGCAACUUUGAUGUGUAUUGCUUGAAUUUCCAGCAUCUGCAGUAUUCCUGUUGUUUGCAUCAUCACAGCCAGGAUCCCUUCUCGCUCCUGCCCUCAGGAACGACGUACAGGAGCCUUUGGUUCCACACCACCAGGUUCAGGAGCAGUUAUUAUACUUCAACCAACAGGCUGAUGAAUCAGCGUGGACAACUGUGCUCCCCACAACUGUUUCUGCUGAUAUACCGUGGAGAGCAAUCUGACUCGCUGCAUUAACAUUUGGUAUGGAGGUGCCAACGUACAGGAUCGGAAAAAAAAAGCUUCUGGUUAAGAUGACGCUACCGAAUGUAUGUGACAUCUCUGGUAGUCAAAAGGCUAAGAAAUCUGACUAAAAACAUCACUAAAAAUACAUUUUCUGAGUGUUAUAGACUCAGACAGCUCCAUCAUGGGCACUAGGCUUCCCACCAUCGAGGACCUUUUCAAAAGGAGAUCCCUCAAGAAGGCGGCAUCCAUCAUGAAGGACCCUCACCAUCCAGGACAAGCCCUCUUCUCGUUACUACCAUCAGGAGGAGGAGGAGGAGGAGGAGAAGAUGACGGCACGUCGCAGCACGCACGGCCUCUCCGGUGAAUGAUAUCUGUAAUCUGUCAAGUAGGGGACCGGGCACAAUUCUGAUUUGAUGAAGACAGAUGUGAGAGUACGGAGGAACAUCUGGAGAAACUUCUGAAAUGCCCACUUUGCUGCCGCUGCUACUGGGUGGUAACCGGAAUCUCCAGAGCAGAAGGCCCUGAAUCCUCAGCUUUGCUUGCUUCAGCGGCCGGGGCGAGGUCAAAGGCGCUCGGCAGAGGAUGGUGCUCGGGAGGCUGUUUCGGAGGGGCUGGUCGGAGGCUCAAAGUUCUCGGACGGACGGACUCGGUGUCGGCUGUGGUCGGCUGCUUCCAAUGCAUCGGCAGCUUCUCCCUUUUGCAGCCUGAUUUUGGGGACACGGGAGUCGAUCGGGACCUGAGACUUUUUUUUUACUGUGCCCAUGGUCUGUUCUUUAUCAAAUUACGGUAUUGUUUUGCACUGCUGUAACUAUAUGUUAUAAUUAUGUGGUUCUGUCAGUGUUAGUCUUUGGUUUGUCCUCUUUUCUGUGAUAUCACUCUGGAGGAACAUUGUAUCAUUUCUUAAUGCAUGUAUGCAUUUCUAAAUGACAAUCAAAGAGGACUGAGUGUUCUCAUAAUCUAAUUAGAGAGACAGCACAGAGUAGACACUUCCCACUGCCCAGCAACCUCCGACCAACAUUUCCUCUCAGAUGUGCACACGUAUACAUAUUUUGCAAUGGGUGCACAAACGAACUUAGACUACGCACAAAAGGUUGUCACCUUUUACCCUGUUGGCAUGUUAAGUGUAUUUCACGAUCGUACACAAUCACAUUACCUUUUCCGGUUUCUGAUGCGGACAGUGUUGACAACGUAGAGUUUGCAGAUUUUAGAACUGGUUUAUUCAUACUGUUUUUAUUGAAGAAAUUAUUCACGUUGUCAUCACUGGGCAAAAAAAAAAUUGCACAACACAAGACUUUUGUGCACACUGGUCAUUACAAAUUAGAGGGAACGUUGUCCCCAACACCUCUAUUUAACCCUAACCUAAUCAUGGGACAAUUUAUACUGACUGAUUAACCUACCAACCCUUAUGUAGAAGGAAACCAGAGCACACAGAGGAAACCCACACUUUUCACAGGGAGGAUUCCUUACAGAAGCCACCAGGAUUGAGCUCUGAACUCUGACGCCCUGAGCUGUAAUAGCGUUGUGCUAACUGACAUGCUACUGUGGUGCCCAAAACCAACACGUAGUCAGCAGGAUUUGAACCUGUGCAGGAAGACCCCAGUGGAUCUCUAGUCUAUCGCCUAACCCCUCGGUCACAACUACUGAAACAACAAGUUUGUGGACGAUAUGGCGGAGGAGGGGGGUGGUGCUGAGGAAGCUGAGAGGCUGCAGAAGGACUUAGACAGAUUAGGAGAAUGGGUAAAGAUGCAGCAAAUGGAAUGCAGUGUCAAGAAGUGUAUGGUCAUGCACUUUGGUAGGAGAAAAGCAUAGGCUGUUUUCAAAACAGGGCGAAAAUUCAAAAAUCUGAGGUGCAAAGGGACUUAGGAGUCCUCCUGCAGGACUACCUAAAGGUUAAUUUGCAGGUUGAGUCUGUGGUGAGGAAGGCAAAUGCAAUGUUAGCAUUCAUUGCAAGAGGUCUAAAAUUCAAGAGCAGGAUGUAAUGCUCAAGCUUUGUAAGGCACCGCUGAAGCCUCACUUGGAGUACUGUGAGCAGUUUUGGGCCCCUUAUUUAAGAAAGGACGUGCUGACAUUGGAGAGAGUUCAGAGGAAGUUCAUGAGAAUGACGCAGGGAAUGAAGUGUUUAUCGCAUGAUGAUUGAUUGAUGGCUCUGGAUCUUUACUCGCUGGAAUUUAGAAGAAUGAGGGGGGAUCUCAUUAAAACCUAUCAAAUGUUGAAAGGCCUAGAUAAGGUGGAGAUGUGGAGGGGACUUUUCCUACAGUGGGGGAGUCUGGGACCAGUGGACACAGCCUCAGUAUAGAGGGACAUACAUUUAUAACGGAGAUGAAGAGGAAUUUCUUUAGAGGGUGUGAAUUUGUGGAAUUCAUUACUAUAGGUGGCUAUGGAGGCCAGGCCAUUGAGGUUGAUAGAUUCUUGAUUAGUCAGAGUGUGAAGAGUUACAGGGAGAAGGCAGGAGAUUGGGUCCAAAAGGGAAUUGGAUCAGCCUUGAUUAAGUGGCAGAGUAGACUUGAUGGGCCAAGAGGCCUAAUUCUGCUCCUAUGCCUUAUCAUAUUAUGGUGUUAUGAAAUGGACAGUUAACUUUUCUGGUUGGAACCCUUCAUCUUGGUUCAGGAUUCAUGUUCAGUAUUAAAUCAGUAAACGUAAGGAGGUAAUAUAUGUCCUAGGAUACACUUUGGAUCGAAAGGUUAUUUCGGAAGGCAGAGGGAGCGGUGUGGCUCUCUUGGUAAAAAAUCAAAUCAAAUCACUAGAAAGAGAGAGUGAGAAGGUGUUGAAUCAUUGUGGAUAGAGCUAAGGAACUGAAAAGGUAAAAAGACACUGUUGGAAUUUGUAUACAGACCCCCAAACAGUAGUAAUGAAGUGGCCUACAAAUUACAAUGGGAGAUGGAAAAUGCAUGCCAAAAGGGCAAUGUUACAAUAAUCGUGGGGGACCUCAGUACGCAGGUUGGUGCUAGAUUACAGGAGGGAGAAUUUCUAGAGUGCCUACUAGUUGGCUCUUUAGGGCAGCUCGUGGUUGAGCCCACUCGAGAAUCAGCUAUUCUAGAUUGGGUGUUGUGCAACGAACCAGUAUUGAUUAGAGAGCUUAAGGUAAAAGAACCCUCAGAGGAAAGUGAUCAUAAUAAGAUCAAAUUCACCCUGAAAUCUGGGAAGAUUAAAAGUGAGAAUUUAUCUCUGUAAUUAGUUUUAUCUUCUGAAAAUAAAAUUCCAGCUGUAGAACAUCAAAACUACCAUCUUUACUCUUCCAUUUUGCUUCGUUUUUAUUAAUCUGAAUGGAUAUGUCCCUUUUAUUUCCUUCCAAAGUAAUUGACUAUCAUUUGAUAUGGAAUGCAGAUUUAUUUUCCUUGUAACUAAUUUUCAUUGGUCGCCUUU